rnacentral:rRNA from 1 species
GUAAUAGCUCACUGGUCGAGUGAAGUUGCGCGGAAAAUUACCGGGGCUAAGUUAUCAACCGAAAUUGCGGAUUUGUAAUUUAUUACAAGUGGUAGAGGAGCAUUCUAUUGUAGGAUGAAGUCAGAGCGUGAGCACUGGUGGACGAGAUAGAAGAGAGAAUGCUGGAAUAAGUAGCGAGAGCAGGGUGAGAAUCCCUGCCGUCGAAAGUCUAAGGUUUCCUGGGGAAGGUUCGUCCGCCCAGGGUUAGUCAGGACCUAAGGAGAGGCCGAAAGGCGUAUCUGAUGGAUAGCAGGUUGAUAUUCCUGCACUAUAUAAUACUUAAAAGAUGCAACUGACGCAGAAGUGGAAGGUGAGCAAGGAAAUGGAAAAACUUGUUCCGCAAGGGGGAGUGAAAAUAAAGUAACGAAGCACCAAGAAGCACGCUGACGAGAAAAGGUUGUAGAUCUUGUAUUAUAUACUUGUACCGCAAACCGACACAGGUAGAUGAGGAGAGGAUCCUAAGACGAUCGGGAGAAGCAUUGUUAAGGAACUCGGCAAAUUGACCCCGUAACUUUGGAAGAAGGGGUACUGGUGUAACAGCCAGUCGCAGAGAAUUGUCCCAAGCAACUGUUUAACAAAAACAUAGGUUUCUGCUAAAUCGAAAGAUGAAGUAUAGGAGCUGACGCCUGCCCAGUGCUGGAAGGUUAAGGGAACGUGUUAAUAGUAAUAUGAAGCACCGAACUGAAGCCCCAGUGAACGGCGGCCGUAACUAUAACGGUCCUAAGGUAGCGAAAUUCCUUGUCAGGUAAGUUCUGACCCGCACGAAAGGCGUAAUGAUUUGGGAGCUGUCUCGACAAUGUCCCCGGCGAAAUUGUAGUACUAGUGAAGAUGCUAGUUACCUGCGACAAGACAGAAAGACCCCAUGGAGCUUUACUGCAGUUUGAUACUGAGUCAGGCUAAUUUAUGUACAGGAUAGUUAGGAGGCUUUGAGGCUUAAGCGCCAGCUUAAGAAGAGCCAACGUUGGGAUACUAACCUUAAAUUAGUUUGAAUCUAACUCGUGAUCGUAAUCCGGUCAGAGGACAAUGUCAGACGGGCAGUUUGACUGGGGCGGUCGCCUCCUAAAGAGUAACGGAGGCGUUCAAAGGUUCCCUCAGCGCGGACAGAAAUCGCGCAAUAGAGUGUAAAGGCAGAAGGGAGCUUAACUGGGAGACUAACAAGUCGAGCAGAUACGAAAGUAGGACUUAGUGAUCCGGUGGAUUAUGAAUGGAAAUGCCAUCGCUCAACGGACAAAAGUUACCCUGGGGAUAACAGGCUUAUCUCCCCCAAGAGUUCACAUCGACGGGGAGGUUUGGCACCUCGAUGUCGGCUCAUCGCAUCCUGGGGCUGUAGUCGGUCCCAAGGGUUGGGCUGUUCGCCCAUUAAAGCGGUACGCGAGCUGGGUUCAGAACGUCGUGAGACAGUUCGGUCCUUAUCUGUCGCAGGCGCAGGAUAUUUGAGGAGAUCUGCCCCUAGUACGAGAGGACCAGGGUGGACGAACAGAUGGUGCAACAGUUGUUCUACCAAGAGCAUAGCUGUGUAGCCAAGUUCGGAAUGGAUAAACGCUGAGAGCAUCUAAGUGUGAAGCCAACUCCAAGAUAAGAUAUCCCAUACCGUUAAGGUAGUAAGAUUCCAUGAAGACUACGUGGUUGAUAGGUUGGGGGUGUAAGUGAAGCGAUUCACUGAGCUGACCAAUACUAAUAAAUCGAGGGCUUAACCA